CUCGGGCUCCGCCCUCCGCAGCCAGGAAGGAAAGGGGCUCCCCGGAGAGUGAGAGACCCUUAAACCUCUCCUGUCAGUCAGUAGGAACCAGAAUCAUUGUUCGUUUUAUCACUGCUGUGACUCCAGCUCCCAGCGUGCUUAAUUUUGGGAUGGAUGGCUAAAGGACUUUCCCCCGGAGCCUGGAGCCGUCAUACGCUGAGGGGUCUCGCUUUGUCGCCUAGACGAAUGCAGUGGCGCGAUCACAGUUCAAGUAACCUCACAUUCCUGUGCUCAAGUGAUCCUCCUGCCUCAGCCUUUGGAGUACUUGGGACUACAGGCGCGCACAACCGCGCCCGGCUAAUUUUUAAAAUUUUUUUGUAGAGCCAGGGGUCCCACUUUGUUGCCCAGGCUAGUCCCCAACUCCUGGCCUCAAGCAAUCCUCCCGCUUCAGCCUCUCAAAAUGCUGGGAUUACGCGCGUGAGCCACCAGCCUGGCUUACUUCCGUCAUCAUACCCUGUCUCUGGCUGGCAUGAGAUGGAUAGUGAGAUAGAACUUCCCAUUUUGUGUUCCCAGGACCUGGAGGAAAUCUACAGGUGUGAAACAAGACAACUCUGGUCCUUAUUUCCCUAUGGGAUGGGUGGGGCUCUAUUUAGGUGUUACCAGCAGAGUAGACAGACAUGUCACUCAGUGGCCAGGGCUUUGAUGGAUCCAGAGGGCUGAGGGAGCUGUCCACCCCAGGCUGGAGGGUCAAGGAAGCCUUCUUUCUGGGAGGGUACCCUCAAGCUAAGACCUGAAGAACGAGUAGGAGCUGGGUUAAGAGGAAGGUAGGGAAGAGUCUUGAGGAGGAUGGCACGUACGGACGGUUCUGGUUGCUGCAAGCACUUCACUACGGUCAGGGCAUAGGAAAGGAGCUCUAACUUGAAAGCCAUGAUUGGGCUGUGGAGGUUUUGAGAACCUCAUGAAUUUUUAUGCAAAAUUCCAUGUACCUCUGUAUUCUCCAAUGCAGUGGUUCAUGGCAUCAUUUGUGGGUUCCAAAAAGGACUUAUGGCUCCUCAGAACAAAAUAAACACUGAUUUGAUAUUCAAAGGGGGAGCAGAAAGAGAGGGCGCCAGCGAUGUUACCAGGUGCUAGGCCAUGCAGGGCCUCAUAAGCCAUAGUAAGUGGCUUGACCUCCUUUAUUCUGAAGGGAGUGGGCAUCAAGGGACUGGAGAUGAGACGUGUGAGAAAAACUGGCUGAGAACAGAGGAAGAGCUUCCCCAUUUGCAUUCCCUUGAGGUCUGGAGUUGUGGAAGAAAGCCAAGGAGGUCCCUAUUUACCAACCCAGAUUCCUAGGCAUUACCAGGAGAGGCCAGCAGAGGGCGCUGUAGCCCAGCAUAUGGACAUGAAGGGAAGGGGACUUUCCAGACUAAAGGCCCUGCCACCUCCUCUCUGGCGCAUUCUAGGGUCCCUUUUAGCCACCAACCUUGGUUCCUUCUCACGUUCUGAUGCCCUACCCGAGAUUCUGAGACUAGUCAGUUUCCCUCCCUUGUUUUUGUUGCCCAUCUCCCCUUCACAAGGCUCUGAGCUCCCACCAGGGAAGAUUGGGGCUGAAUUGGCUUCUCCUGUGGCCCAGCAUUGUCUCUCACAAGGAGCCAGGAACACAGCAUGUAUGAGGGAACGAAGACAUAAGGUUGCUAAGGAAGGGGAAGAUGGGCCAUGGGGAUGCAAUCUGGAGUCUUUUACCCUGGCUCACUCCUCCAGGAAGCCCUCCCUGCACACCACCCCAGGCUCUCACAGCUGACCACUUGGUGCUGGCAGGUCUUUGUUCUCUCUGGAGUGGGAGCUCUGUGAGAACGGGGUCCAGGACUGCCGUGGCCAUACUAUGUCCCCAGCACUGUCCAGGACAGCUGAAGAACACAGCAGGUGGCUCACACACACUGGCUGAAACAUGAAGCUCCUGGAAUCCCCAUGAGCCCCAAACACAGAACAGGCAGGAACUGUCCUCCGUGCUGCACACAGGCCAGGCCUGAGGCAGGUGGUCUGUGGAUGCCCAGUGAUGAUGCCAAACAAACCAGCCCUGGUCUCU
rnacentral:lncRNA from 10 species